rnacentral:lncRNA from 1 species
UGGCUUCCUUGCCUACAGGAUGGAAGAUGUACACCGGGAGUGGAACAAUGGAGUAGGUUUUUUUGGCAGUGAACUUGUACUGAUCCAAUCAGUGACCUUCAUUUCAGGAAUUCAGGAAUCUCUGGAAGUGCGAGGAUCUGCCCCAUUGUCAUCCUGCCGCUCCUGGCUCAUCUACAUCUGACCUUCUGUUUACAACCAAGCCCGGAGGAAGCUGCUGGGGGAAAGCAGAGCCUGGCACUAGAGAAGCAUCCUGACAAAAUAAUUACAGCGUCAGCAAGAGAGUGA